GAUUAAAAACAGAGCUGAGGGGGAACGGGAGUGAGGCUGGAGGGGCGGAGCUCCUGCCAAAAACCAGAGAAAGCUUGACAGUUCCAAUGGCUGCUCCUGCACAGGUGCAGAGCCCAUGUAUGAAUGGGCAGAUGACCACUAGAAGAACCUCAGUUACAGCUUAUUUCACUUGAGGAUGUAGACAAGAUUCUUGGAUCUGCAAGAACAACCUCCCGCAUACUCGAUUCUUGCCUUUCAUGACAGGUGAAGCAAGCCAGACCAGGAUUGGUUACCUGGAUGAUGGAGGGGGUGAAUGCCGGUCUGAAGUUUGGCAAGCAUCCACAAGAAAGAAGCAACCUGGCUGCUGCUGUGGUGGUGGGUUAAUGUUCUGGAAUGCGCUCCUCAUGGAGUCCAGACAGGCACCACACUCUAUACAUUUAGCCAUCUAUAACUAAUACAUAACUGUUUGAGACAGACUUUGCUGCUGGAUAGGUUCUAAUCUACUUUUGCUUUGCUUGUAUUUUCCUUUGCUGUUGAAUUUAAUUGCGAUCAGCUGCAAGUGUCUCUUGAUCAUCUUGUGGGGGAUUUUUAUUAUUGUGUUGUUGUUGUAUACUGCCCUGGGUGCAAUGGGAGAGCAGCGGUGUGUAAACUUAUCGACAUACAUAAAUAAAAUAAAGCAGCCUCUUCACCUU